AAAUAAGAAGCAAUAUAUUGCAUUUAGUUUCGACCUAAAAGUUUGAUAUUUUUAUCCUUAUUUA
rnacentral:tRNA from 1 species